rnacentral:rRNA from 1 species
UACGUAGGGACCAAGCGUUGUUCGGAUUUACUGGGCGUAAAGGGCGCGUAGGCGGCCUAACAAGUCACUUGUGAAAUCUCCGGGCUUAACUCGGAACUGCCAAGUGAAACUGUCAGGCUAGAGUGCAGAAGGGGCAAUCGGGAAUUCUUGGUGUAGCGGUGAAAUGCGUAGAUAUCAAGAGGAACACCUGAGGUGAAGACGGGUUGCUGGGCUGACACUGACGCUGAGGCGCGAAAGCCAGGGGAGCAAACGGG